UAUAACUAUCUUAAUUUAAUAUAUAACUGAACUACCCCUUGUUUAUGUAAGUAUCAUUAUUUAAUACCCAUUUUCAAAAAUUAUAUUUAUGCAUUUUUAUUAAAUUAAUAAAAUACAGAUUUACAAAAUGUAUAAUUGAUAAAUUGUAUUCCAAGUUGUUCUUUAAACUAUUAAAUAUUUUAUCAAACUCAUUGAAUAUUUUUAAAAUUAUUAUUUAUCAGGUUGUAAUUUUUCAUAAGACAAGUUAUACGUAUAGAAAUUAUAUAAUGUUUUAUAAAAUUGUAAGGUGUUAUUUUAAAAAGUUUUUUGGUGAUAUUUUCUUACAGAAACACUUCAAAAU
rnacentral:lncRNA from 1 species